AAAAAAUUUGAUUCUAGUUUUUUAAUUUAAUUUAUAUUUUUAUUAUAUGUAAAUUUUUGUGCUGAGAAUUAUUUAAAAAGUAAUUUUAUAAAAUUAAAAAGUACAGGCAAUAAUUAGAUUUAUACAAUGGAGGAGAUUUUGAUAUAGGAAUAUAUAAUAGCAUUGGUAAAAUUUGUGCCAGCAACCGCGGUUAGACAGAUAAUGCAAUUAAAUUUUUUCUGGUAAUAAUUAAUAAGGAUUGUUUUAAUUUAAAAUUAGAUUUAUUAAGUGAAAUUAGAAAUUUAAAUAAAGUUUUCAGUUAAAUUAUGAGGUUAUGAAAUUCCAUUAUUAGACUAGGAUUAGAUACCCUAUUAUAAGGAAUGUAAAUUAACAAUGCCGGGGAAGUAGUAGUUAUGUUCUUGAAAUUUAAAGAAUUUGGCGGUAUUUUAGUCUUUUCAGAGGAACCUGUCCUAUAAUUGAUGAUCCACGAUUAAUUGUACUUAAUUUAAUAGUUUGUAUAUCGUCGUAGGUUGAAUAUCUUAAAAGAGAUGAAAAUGUUCAUGAUUUAUGAUACAAUAAAGGAGAUCAGAUCAAGGUGUAGCUUAUAAUUAAGAAGAGAUGGGUUACAAUAAAUUUAUUUAUAUGGUUAUAAUAAUUAAAGUUAUUAUAUAAAGCGGAUUUGACAGUAAUAUGUUUAAUUUAAAAUGUAUGAUUUUAGCUCUAGAAUAUGUACAUAUCGCCCGUCGCUUUCAUUGAAUCUUAAAGUGAAAUAAGUCGUAACAUAGUAGGUGUACCGGAAGGUGUACCUGGUUUGCA
rnacentral:ncRNA from 1 species